rnacentral:rRNA from 1 species
UACGUAGGGUGCAAGCGUUGUCCGGAAUUAUUGGGCGUAAAGCGCGUGUAGGCGGUUUCGUGUGUCUGAUGUGAAAUCCCCGGGCUCAACCCGGGAAGUGCAUUGGAAACUGCGAGACUAGAGUCCCGGAGAGGAAGGUGGAAUUCCAGGUGUAGCGGUGAAAUGCGUAGAUAUCUGGAAGAACACCGGUGGCGAAGGCGGCCUUCUGGACGGUGACUGACGCUGAGACGCGAAAGCGUGGGGAGCAAACAGG